CAAGCUCCAACUACUGCUCCGAACGCUACAGCUGGCUCUACUGAAGCUACCAAUGCCACACAAGCUCCAACUACUGCUCCGAACGCUACAGCUGGCUCUACUGCAGUUACUGCAGUCACAACUGUUGGCACUUUAGCUACCACCACAACCACAACUACAGCAGCACCACAAGAAGAGCCAAAGAUAAGCUUGGGAUUUUCAUUGCAGGAGACCUUUACACCAGAACUUACAGACAAGUCUUCACCAGCGUUCAAAGCCUUGGAAACCAAAGUAACCGAGUCGCUCAACAAAGUCUAUAGUGACCAAUUUGGAGAUGCCUUCAAUCGAAGUGUCAUCAAAAGCUUCAGGUCAGGGUCCGUUGUGGUAGAUGCUGAGCUGAUAUCAACAAUGUGUCUGCAACACCAAAUACCAGUUCUGUGACUAAUACUUUGCAGACUGCUGUUUCGAGCAGUGGUUUUAACCUCAGUGUCAACGCAUCAUCUAUCACAGCAGCCGUUGUUUUGGCACCAACUGA